UACGUAGGGGGCAAGCGUUGUCCGGAAUCAUUGGGCGUAAAGAGCGUGUAGGCGGCUUGGCAAGUCUCGCGUGAAAUCCUGCGGCUCAACCGCAGGCGGUCGCGGGAAACUGCCUCGCUAGAGUCCGGAAGAGGAGAGUGGAAUUCCUGGUGUAGCGGUGAAAUGCGCAGAUAUCAGGAAGAACACCUAUGGCGAAGGCAGCUCUCUGGGACGGUACUGACGCUGAGACGCGAAAGCGUGGGGAGCGAACAGG
rnacentral:rRNA from 1 species